rnacentral:tRNA from 1 species
GCGCCCGUGACGGAAUGGCAGACGUUGCGGACUUAAAAUCCGUUGCCCGCAAGGGCGUGCCGGUUCGAGUCCGGCCGGGCGCACCA